GUUUUCUGGGUAUACAUUCACUUUGUGUGUGCCUCUGUAAGAUCAAGGAAAAUCAAAUUUUCUGUCUACCUCAGCCAUACCCAUGAUACCCUCAGCUCCAUGAUUAAGAUUCCCAGAGAGACAAGGAGAUAAAGACAAGAGAAGAGACAUUGGUGGAGCCUGACUAGAAAUGUGAGGCAUAGCUGCAGAGACCUGAAGUUAUGCCUUCAAAUCUGAUCCUGAUGAACCCCUUCAACUUGGCUAUUUGAGCUGGGUGCUGACCUGCCUCAGUUCACUACCUAAACUCUUCAGAGGAGAGUUUCUUUGGCAUUCCUGUUUCCAUAUAACAGUAUGUAGCAACACACCAAGAGCCCUAAAACACAUAAAAAACCAUGCCGGUUCUUUCCUAUUUUUUUCCCAGGUAAAUGAAUUCUUCUUAACAAAGUCAUAUCCUCUUGAACAGACCUCCAUCAAACACAAUGGUUGUUGGAGAAGACAGUUGCAUUGUCUUCUUCAGACAAUGCCUGUUCUUAUAAUCAAUAUUCAGAAACAUAACUUUUUAGAGCAGAUUGAAUUAAUUUUAUGGAAGAAAUUAGAGUCCUUCCAUAUUGAUUAGUAAGUCAGUUACCUUGGAAAUUUGUCUGCCAACUGACCUCAUUUCUAAUACCAAGACAUGGAGUCCUUGCUUCAUCUUUCACCAAUACUUAUUUAAGAAUGGCUUAAUUCUGUUAGCUCCACUGAGGCUUUCUUGUCUUACCCCAGUGAGAGUGAGAAAAAAAAAAGAAAGAAACAGGUUUAUUGAGUCUGAAUGCAAGCACACAUGAGGAUUCAUACAAUUUAUUAUUAUAUAUAUACCCAGAACAUACAUAAAAAUGUUAGUUUUAAAUUGCUAAGGUAAACUUGCAUUUCAGUAGAGUCCAGAUUUUUUUUAAUUGUAUUUUUUAUAAUACCUAGUUUUAUUAUUUUAUAUGUUUUAAGAAAAUCUUUCGGAAGGUCUAACAAUUAAAGAAGCUAUAAAUCCCCUGCACACUUGUCCCAGUCAAUUCACACAUCCCUCCCACUUAUGACCUGGGACAUUCAAAAGUUUGUCAUUGUUAUGCAGACACGUUAUGGUCUACAACUACUGAUUUUCUCUACUGUUUUAAACACACACAAAACUUUCUGAGAAGGACACUUUCUGGUGACAUGCUCAGUUAUGUCUCUGUAACCGCUAUUCCCUACAAAUUCAGUUUUAUGCUCGGGUAACAGUUGGACUUGAUGAUGUUGAGGUCUUUUCCAACCUAAAUGAUUCUAUGAUCAAACAGUCGUCUUUGAUGGCAAGGUUUUAAGAGCUCUUACCAUCCCCACCUUUGGCUGCUCAUGCUCCCUCAGUAGUGCUGAAGCAAUAGUUGCCACUCCAUGAUACAUCACUAAAAGAAUCCAAAGUUUUUUGUUUUGGUUUUGGUUUUUCUUUUAAAUGCAGUUGUGUUUUUUUAUUAUUAUUAUUAGUUAAUUUAGUUUAUUUUGCUAUUUGAUUGUACCCAGCAUGGUGUCUGGCACAUCUCUACAAAGAGUUAAACCAGCACAACUGAGGAAGCAAUCAAUUGUAGCUAUGGGGCAGGAAUAAGCAGCAAUUG
rnacentral:lncRNA from 1 species